UUGUGUCGUCGCUGUUUUUCUCUCUCCAGAGCGACCACUGCUGUUUUUAGCAUGGAAUUUACUUCACAAUUUUAGUGUUUCUGUCGAGAAAUAAUAAUGUGCCGGUUGUAGUAAUAACAACAACAACAGCCUCAACAACAAUCAUAAAAGCUGAAGACGAAGGAAUAAAAAGAGAGAGAGAGAAAAAGGAAAUACCUCCUCUCCUUUAUAUUUUUCUACCUUAUGAAUGGAUUUUGAGGUCAAUAUUAAACUGAAUGGCCUCAUAAUAAAUACAUAAAAGACUUUUUAUUUUUAUUUUUACGAAGUGUACUUAAAACUGGCCAGUUGGGUGAUUUUAUUUUGUAUGUUUCGCUUCAGUUGUUCGUGUACUCAAUCAAACGUGAAUCAGGAAUGAUAUUAAAUACCUAUCUUGUUUGGUCUAAAACCUCAACAGUUUCCCACACCGGCUGCGCUCCAAGAGUUACUAUAGCCUGGUGGCUCUAGUUUACACAGCUAAGGAUUACAAUGGCUGAAGCCCUGAGUAAUAGUUUUGCUGGAGGGUGUAGCGAUGUCCCAUCAGCAGGAACUUCUGAUGUGGAAGAUGAACUCCCAGAUUUGUUUUCACAUUUUACAAUAAGAAAACAAACAUCCUACAGCACACGAUCUCAGAACAGGUCACUUGCUAUGCAAGUGCAUCUGCGUAAUUCAAUAAUCAAAUAUCGUCAUAUUCCUUCUUACAUCGUUCAUAUUUAAACCUGAGAUCAAUUCUGACUCAGCCGUUCUAUAGUCAAAACAAUUCUACCCCACUGUAGUGAAACUACCUAUCGUCACUAGAUACAAACUACUAUCGCCAUUACAUAC
rnacentral:lncRNA from 1 species